rnacentral:rRNA from 1 species
GAUGAACGCUAGCUACAGGCUUAACACAUGCAAGUCGAGGGGAAACGGCAUUAAGUGCUUGCACUUUUUGGACGUCGACCGGCGCACGGGUGAGUAACGCGUAUCCAACCUUCCCAUGACUAAGGGAUAACCUGCCGAAGGGCAGACUAAUACCUUAUGGUCUUCACUGACGGCAUCAGAUGUGAAGUAAAGAUUUAUCGGUUAUGGAUGGGGAUGCGUCUGAUUAGUUAGUUGGCGGGGUAACGGCCCACCAAGGCAACGAUCAGUAGGGGUUCUGAGAGGAAGGUCCCCCACAUUGGAACUGAGACACGGUCCAAACUCCUACGGGAGGCAGCAGUGAGGAAUAUUGGUCAAUGGGCGAGAGCCUGAACCAGCCAAGUAGCGUGCAGGACGACGGCCCUAUGGGUUGUAAACUGCUUUUGUAUGGGGAUAAAGUCAAUCACGUGUGAUUGUUUGCAGGUACCAUACGAAUAAGGACCGGCUAAUUCCGUGCCAGCAGCCGCGGUAAUACGGAAGGUCCGGGCGUUAUCCGGAUUUAUUGGGUUUAAAGGGAGCGUAGGCUGGAGAUUAAGUGUGUUGUGAAAUGUAGACGCUCAACGUCUGACUUGCAGCGCAUACUGGUUUCCUUGAGUACGCACAACGUUGGCGGAAUUCGUCGUGUAGCGGUGAAAUGCUUAGAUAUGACGAAGAACUCCGAUUGCGAAGGCAGCUGACGGGAGCGCAACUGACGCUGAAGCUCGAAGGUGCGGGUAUCGAACAGG